CGAUUCCGUAGCUGACUCCUCAGGAGGAGAUGGUCCUGGCACGUGCUGGACACUUUGGGACGUCCUGAAGUCUUCUUCACUGCAGUUGAACCUCUCUCUUUGAAGUUCUUGAUGAUCCGGCCCAGGCUUCAGUCUUACAGCCUGAAGGGAGGAAUAAACAAGCACCUCUGGGAGAGUGGGAGACAGCUCAGAAAGGAGGGGUGAGCUGCAGAAUAACAGAAUAAAGAUGCGGAGAAGAGUCCGAGAGGAGCUCAGCUUUGGAUCGAAACCUGAGCUUGGUGCUAAGGUUUGCUAUCUCUGAGUAGAAGAAAUGGAGAGUAAGUGAAAUAUGUUUUGUUUUGUUUUUUUGUUUGGAGAAUGUUUUACAGAGUCAGGCAUUUUGUAUAUGCAUGACACACUAGCCGUACAAACAGCUCAUACUGUAUAUGCAUACACGUACACAUUUCCUGAGGGGACAGGGACAAAAAACAACUAUUGGGAUAAGUUGGUUGGUUUGUUGGAAUGUACGUACAAGUUUAGACUAAAUAUCAGACUCGAACUCCUGAGAGACAGCAGCCAAAGUGACUGUUAUACUCACUUUUCUUUUUAUAUACACCGUCUAUUUAUAACUUUUCUAAUCAUAAGUAUAUACGGUGGCCAGACGUUCUCUAAGAAUAAGUAUAUAUGAGUUCAACUCAUUGUGUUUCAUGUUCUAUAGUAAGUAAAUCCAGAGGUUGCAUCAUAUGAGAACAUUCUGCUGCUGGAAAUGCUUUUUGAAGUGCCAAACAUUAGUAAAUGCAUCAUUUAUCAAAAUAAAUAAAUAAAUAAACAAAUUAAAAUCGCAUUUGAAAGAAAUAUCUUAUGAAUACAUGAAUACAUUUGUUUUUCUCAGAGUUCUCAGUUGUCAAAGUCAAUAGAGAAAAUCUUGUUCGCCCACUUUAUCCAGCCAUCAUGGGGGAUGGACUAGACGUACAGAAUGUCCCCACCAGCCCCCAAAACCCCAGGAUCCUGACAGAUGAGCCCUUAACUCCGGUGUGUGUGGUAUGGAGCCACUGAGACUAGAGGCCAGCUGCUAUUUUAUCCAACGAUUUUCCUUUUUUCCUUCUUCUUCUUUCCAAUAGUCACUGUUUUUGUACACGCAGCGUGCGGGAUCCUAACUGCCUCUUUGGUAGCCCUCCAUCGCCAGCCAAUGCGAUCCUAAAUGCAGCGGGACGAGUGGUCCAGCGAACAACACAAAGUGUGUAAGGUGAAUUUGCUUAAAGUGCGGUAGCGUCUACGCAAAUGCAAGUGGCAGGCAACACCAAGGAUGUUUUGAAUGGAAAAUCGGGCAUUGUGGUAAGAGUUUGCUGCCUCUGACCCUGGCUGCUAGCAGACAAGCAAGUGUGAAAUCUGUAUGAAAGGUAAGCAGCUGAUAACAUUACCCAACAAAGGCAAUAUCAUCUUCCCCCCUCCACAUUUUUUCUUUCCACCAUUCUCAUCUGUCUCCGCCGAUCUUUUUUUUUUUUUACUGCUCUUUUCCUCUGUAUUCGCUCUUCAGUUUCGCUUUGCCAUUCUUACUUAUUUUCCAUUUUAAUUGAACCGCACUCUAGCAACAAAUAACAAAUGGAAAUUGGCGUUCGGUAAACACUGUCGUAGGAAGGACCGGUGUUUUACUGGCAGCGUGCUUUUCUUUUUUUUUUCUUCUUUUUUUCGUUUUGUUCUCCUGCUCAGGAUGGACUGCACUGGCAUCGCACAGCUGUCCUUUCAUUUUCAAAGCUUGUUUGAUUUUUCUAACCGUCGUUCCCCCUCCCGAGUCUCAUCUCACACUGUGAUCACAUCCAGCUCUGCGUCCUAAUGUUUACUGAGCAAUUAGGAGCAAAUUCACUUGUGCCUGUGGGGUCUGUUGCCAUAGUUACAAUAGGGUUUUCAAGGUCUAUCAUCUGGUCCUCAGUGUCCACCAAUCAGCUGCGAGCGCUGAAGCUCUCAACGUAAAGUAAAGAUGCGCAUCUUUCACCAACACAGUAGUAAGGAAUUGAAACAGAUCCACGAGUAUUACAAAGUACUCUGAAGUGGCAAGUAGGCGACUGCGUCCAGUCAUGGCGGAUCUUGGAAAUCACGGUGGAGGAGACACCCAGCAGGAGAGGCAGGUGAGAGCAUCGUCCAUUUUGAGACUUAGCUAAGACUACUCCAUGAAACAAGACUGAGACUGAGCUAACAAGAUUAGCAUUAAGCGCCAAACACUAUAAUUGGGCACGGGAUGAUGAAUUUGGUUAUGGACACACGGACGGUGACCGUGCGAAAGAAUGGACGCAAAACAAAAUGAAGCUUGGCUGUACUUCAAAACAAUUUGGGUCAAAGGCUUCUUAGAUCGAUUCGUUUUUUGGAAACCGCGAUCAAAGAGCUCCAGCAGGGCUCCUGUUCAGUUCUGAUACAUUUUUCCCCCCCUUGUAAUUUGCGAAAAAUGAGGACCGGUUGAGGAAAUUUAAUUUGAUCAGUCAGAGUACAUCUAUGUCUUCGUCUUUUGUGUGCAGAGCUCUGUGUGUAUAUAAAAUUGGCCUAGAUUAAUCAUAGCACUCUAAAUCUCAUUACAUGGAACAUCUGAGAAAAUGGCAUCUUCAAACACCUCUUUGGAUGGGAAGGGGGGAGGUGGGGCUUUAAAUUCAGGCCUUCAUCAGAUCAAAGGCCUCAGAUCGGGGAUGAAUUUUUGUUUUUCGCCGGAUAUGUUUGGAAUCGAGCAUGCUCAGAAAAUAAGCGCCAUGGUGAGGCGUAAGCAGCCAAAACUCCGCAUUCACGCCGCCCUCCUAUCGAGCGGCCCAGGAGCCUGUCAAUACGGUGAUAUGAUUUCAGUACGAAAAGAGGACCUCCCUUCAAUAACAGUCUUAAAAGGGGGCUAGAGUUGAAAGCAGAAGAAAGAAAGGGACGAUGGAGGGAAGAGGCGGAUCGCCAGCUGAAUCCAGCCAAUAUUAAAGAUGGCGGCUGGGCAUGCCGCAGACUGCGUAGCACUGGACCCAAUCUGUGGAAAGACAAUUGGAAUAGUCUUGGCUUCAGUGUAGGUACCACACACAGCGCUGACCCCACACGAACAUGGUACGAAUGGAUACAAUAAACUACCAGGAAUGGCACAAUUCUCUGUGGAUAGUAAACUUUCUAACUGGGAGAAUGCAGAAGAUGCCAUCUUUACUGUCACUUGAUCUCAUUACUGGACUAGAAAUGGUUUCUUUUGCCAGUGAAUUUACAUUCGGGGGAAGCCUGCCAAUGCAAGACAGAAGCAUCAACUUCCCCCAGGUGAGGUAUUUUAUAUUCAAUUUUAUAGAUGCAAACUUUUAAAUAUCACUAGAUUGCGUGAAUUAUGUUGUUUGAACACUACCCCAACCCUCACGUUUAGAUACAGCUCUUUCAGUCACUCUUUCUACAGCUACUGUAUCUAGUAAUAGUUUGUUUCUAGAAUUUUGUAGUCACUUUUAUAGUAACAACUCACACAUUCUUUAACCAAGACAAUUGUUGGUAUGGGGAAGCUUUCUGUUUAUUUCCAGAAGGAGUUUCAGUGUGCUAUUAUCAGCGCUUUGUAACAGUCAGUAACUUUUCCGCUAUGGUAGAGACUUCAGGACGGAGAUUUUUGUGCUUUCCUGUUUCUCUGUAACAUAACAAGCUGUUUUUUUUUUUCUUAACUUCAAGAGGGCAAAAUAAAGAUGUUGGUGAGAGAAGGACUGUUUAUAGCUGCUCUAACAUAACUGAUAACAGGAACUAACUUAUCUCACAGACACUUCACAACCUUAAACGUAACUAUAAGUGGUUAAAAAUUGCAUUCAUUGUUCGUUAACAAAUUAAGAAUUGAACUGUUGGUAAAUCACGAUGGUUUAUAAUCUCUAUAUAUGUGAAAACUAUGGAUUAUUACUCUUGAAGCUUUGUUGAAAGUAACUGGUCCUGAUUGGUCCACUGGACACUUUUGUGAAACAGAAUAAGAGGACAGAAAGCCCAACUUGGGCAUGACAUUAUAGGAAAAUAAUAGGAAAAUAAUCUACUACAGGGUAGUAACAGUAACUCCACUUUGUGUUAGGCCUCAUCACAUCACCCCGUAGUGGAUUAUUUUCCUAAAACAGUAUGCCCUGUUGUGGUAAAAUCUUUGGAGCUGUCGAUAUUGUUGUUGUGUCUUUAUCUGUAGGCCAGAGAAAGUAGAAGUUUUAUGCCACAAGAUGCUGCCACUUAGCUAGCUCACCAAUGCCACCGCUGUAAAUUUUGAAUGCAUAUAUAUCUUCUAAAUGUGAAUUUUGGGAUUGUUUUGGAGCUCACUAUCUUAUAGAUAACCUUAAGGCUAACGUAAUCGUACUAAAAGCCACAAAACUUCUAUUUUGAUUUCAUGGGGACAUUAAGGCCAGGUUUCCCAACUUGGGGUUUGUGUUCCCCUAGAGGAUUGUGCUGGAAUUGCAGGGGGUUCAUAAGAUCAAUAGAAAAUUAAGAUAUUUCACAAACUGAGAAGUACCAAGCUUUAACUGCCAGGUUUCGCCCUUUAUUACAAAAAAAAAUCUCUUAAUUUUAGCCUUGUUAAAGUCUCAAAGGUUACUUAAGGCAAAUAAUUUAGGCUGAAGGGUUUCUUCUGAAAAAAACAUUUGGGAAUCUUUGGUUUAACUCUUCUACACAUAGUGUUCAAACUUGUCAAUUUAAAGUUGUUUUUUUUUUUUUUUUUUUUUUUAGGAAAAUAAGAGAAUUAAAUCACUUCCAAAUCACUUGACUGAAAUGUUAAAUUUAACAUUUAAAUCUCAGGACUCCACUGAACCUUUUUUAAAAGCUUUGUUUUUUUUUAUUAUUGAAGUUUUUAACAUCUUAACUGUAUCAAUUUUGU
ensembl:lncRNA